GACGAACGCUGGCGGCGUGCUUAACACAUGCAAGUCGAACGGAAAGGCCCUGCUUUUGUGGGGUGCUCGAGUGGCUAACGGGUGAGUAACACGUGAGUAACCUGCCCUUUACUUUGGGAUAACUUCAGGAAACUGGGGCUAAUACCGGAUAGUAGCUCCUGCUGCAUGGUGGGGGUUGGAAAGUUUCGGCGGUUGGGGAUGGACUCGCGGCUUAUCAGCUUGUUGGUGGGGUAGUGGCUUACCAAGGCUUUGACGGGUAGCCGGCCUGGGAGGGUGACCGGCCACAAUGGGACUGAGAGAGGGACCAGACUCGUACGGGGGGCAGCAGGGGGGAAUAUUGCACAAUGGGCGGAAGCCUGAUGAAGAAACGCCGCGUGCGGGAAGAAGGCCUUCGGGUGGUAAACCGAGUUAGCCUGUGACGAAGAGUGAGUGACGGUAAUGGGUAAAGAAGCACCGGCUAACUACGUG
rnacentral:rRNA from 1 species